UAGGUGGGCAGGUGGAGAACACCGAGGCGCUAGGGAGAACACUGGUUAAGGAACUAGGCAAGUUAAUACCGUAACUUCGGGAUAAGGUAUGCCAGUUAGGUGAAGGGCCUGCGCCUGGAGCCAAGACUGGUCACAGCAAAGCGGCGGUAGCGACUGUUUACCAAAAACACAGGUCUCUGCAAAGUCGUAAGACGAUGUAUAGGGGCUGACGCCUGCCCGGUGCCGGAAGGUUAAGAGGAGCUGUCAGCGCAAGCAAAGCAGCGAAUUGAAGCCCCGGUAAACGGCGGCCGUAACUAUAACGGUCCUAAGGUAGCGAAAUUCCUUGUCGGGUAAGUUCCGACCUGCACGAAAGGCGUAACGACUUCCGCGCUGUCUCAACCAGUGGCCCUGCGAAAUCGACGUUGGGGUGAAGAUGCCCCAUACCCGCAGAAAGACGGAAAGACCCUGUGAACCUUUACUCUAGCUUGGCAGUGACAUUCGACAUUAUCUGUGUAGCAUAGGUGGGAGGCGUUGAGUUCGGCGCGCUAGCGUCGAAGGAGCCACCGUUGAAAUACCACCCUGAUGAUGUUGACUGUCUAACUUCGAAAGAAGGACACUGCCUGGUGGGGAGUUUGACUGGGGCGGUCGCCUCCCAAACAGUAACGGAGGCGCGCGAUGGUUCUCUCAGCCUGAUCGGGAACCAGGCGUAGAGUGCAAAGGCAUAAGAGAGCUUGACUGCGAGACGGACACGUCGAGCAGGUUCGAAAGAAGGCCUUAGUGAUCCGGCGGUCCCAUAUGGAAGGGCCGUCGCUCAACGGAUAAAAGGUACUCCGGGGAUAACAGGCUUAUCACGCCCAAGAGUUCACAUCGACGGCGUGGUUUGGCACCUCGAUGUCGGCUCGUCGCAUCCUGGGGCUGGAGCAGGUCCCAAGGGUUUGGCUGUACGCCAAUUAAAGCGGCACGCGAGCUGGGUUCAAAACGUCGUGAGACAGUUUGGUCCCUAUCUUCUGUGGGCGUUGGAGAGUUGAGAGGAUCUGUCCUUAGUACGAGAGGACCGGGAUGGACACACCUCUGGUGUUCCGGUUGUCGCGCCAGCGGCACUGCCGGGUAGCUAAGUGUGGACGGGAUAACCGCUGAAAGCAUCUAAGUGGGAAACCCCCCUCAAGAUUAGCUCUCCCCAAAGGACCCAGGUAGACUACCUGGUCGAUAGGCUGGACGUGUAAUCGCAGCAAUGCGUUCAGCGAACCUGUACUAAUUGUCCGUUCG
rnacentral:rRNA from 1 species